rnacentral:rRNA from 1 species
GACGUAGGGCGCGAGCGUUGUCCGGAAUUAUUGGGCGUAAAGCGCACGUAGGCGGUUUGUUAAGUCGGAUGUGAAAUCCCUCGGCUCAACUGAGGAAGUGCAUCCGAAACUGGCAGGCUUGAGUACUAAAGAGGGUCGCGGAAUUCCCGGUGUAGAGGUGAAAUUCGUAGAUAUCGGGAGGAACACCGGUGGCGAAGGCGGCGACCUGGGUAGAUACUGACGCUGAGGUGCGAAAGCGUGGGGAGCAAACAGG